GAGUUUGAACCUGGCUCAGGAUGAACGCUGGCGGCGUGCCUAAUACAUGCAAGCCGAGCGAACCACUUCGGUGGUGAGCGGCGAACGGGUGAGUAACACGUAGGUGAUCUGCCCAUCAGACGGGGACAACGAUUGGAAACGAUCGCUAAUACCGGAUAGGACGAAAGUUUAAAGGUGCUUCUGGCACCGCUGAUGGAUGAGCCUGCGGCGCAUUAGCUAGUUGGUAGGGUAAAGGCCUACCAAGGCGACGAUGCGUAGCCGACCUGAGAGGGUGAACGGCCACACUGGGACUGAGACACGGCCCAGACUCCUACGGGAGGCAGCAGUAGGGAAUCUUCGGCAAUGGGCGAAAGCCUGACCGAGCAACGCCGCGUGAAUGAUGAAGGCCUUCGGGUUGUAAAAUUCUGUUAUAAGGGAAGAACGACUUUAGUAGGAAAUGGCUAGAGUGUGACGGUACCUUAUGAGAAAGCCACGGCUAACUACGUGCCAGCAGCCGCGGUAAUACGUAGGUGGCGAGCGUUAUCCGGAAUUAUUGGGCGUAAAGAGCGCGCAGGUGGUUGAUUAAGUCUGAUGUGAAAGCCCACGGCUUAACCGUGGAGGGUCAUUGGAAACUGGUCGACUUGAGUGCAGAAG
rnacentral:rRNA from 1 species